CGCGUAGGCGGCCUGCUAAGUCGAACGUGAAAUCCCUGGGCUCAACCCAGGAACUGCGUCCGAUACUGGAAGGCUUGAAUCCGGGAGAGGGAUGCGGAAUUCCAGGUGUAGCGGUGAAAUGCGUAGAUAUCUGGAGGAACACCGGUGGCGAAGGCGGCAUCCUGGACCGGCAUUGACGCUGAGGCGCGAAAGCUAGGGGAGCAAACG
rnacentral:rRNA from 1 species